UACAGAGGUGGCAAACGUUGUCCGGAUUUAUUGGGUGUAAAGGGCAUGUAGGUGGUUUUGUAAGUCAAAGGUGAAAUGGCCCGGCUCAACCAGGUCAUUGCCUUUGAAACUGCAAGACUCGAGUUCGGAAGAGGAAAGCGGAAUUCCCAGUGUAGCGGUGAAAUUCGUAGAUAUUCGGAAGAACACCAGUGGCGAAGGCGACUUACUGGACACAUAUUGACGCUGAGGUGCGAAAGCGUGGGGAGCAAACAGG
rnacentral:rRNA from 1 species